rnacentral:rRNA from 1 species
GACGAACGCUGGCGGCGUGCUUAACACAUGCAAGUCGAACGGAAAGGCCCUGCUUUUGUGGGGUGCUCGAGUGGCGAACGGGUGAGUAACACGUGAGUAACCUGCCCUUGACUUUGGGAUAACUUCAGGAAACUGGGGCUAAUACCGGAUAGGAGCUCCUGCUGCAUGGUGGGGGUUGGAAAGUUUCGGCGGUUGGGGAUGGACUCGCGGCUUAUCAGCUUGUUGGUGGGGUAGUGGCUUACCAAGGCUUUGACGGGUAGCCGGCCUGAGAGGGUGACCGGCCACAUUGGGACUGAGAUACGGCCCAGACUCCUACGGGAGGCAGCAGUGGGGAAUAUUGUACAAUGGGCGGAAGCCUGAUGCAGCAACGCCGCGUGCGGGAUGACGGCCUUCGGGUUGUAAACCGCUUUCGCCUGUGACGACGCGUGAGUGACGAUAAUGGGUAAAGAAGCACCGGCUAACUACGUG